AACUACAAGGAUAGAAUGAAUUGUCCUUGUCCUUAGGAAACUUACAGUCUACCGGGGGAUAAAAGCACACAAACAGAUGGUCAUAUUACAAAGUGUUAUGUGCAAACACAGUGGCAUUCAAGCGGGCCUGGUUUCACGGGAAAAGGAAGACGACAGGGAAAGAAAGGAAAAAAAUGAGAAAGAAGAUCAAGGAAAAAAAGAGAAGAAAGAGAGAAGAGAAAAAGCAUGAUUGGGCUUUCAUGAAGUUUAGCAAGGAACACCUUCUAGAAAGAAGUCUUACCCUUGAAUGCCCUGACAGGAGCCCACCUGCUUACCAUCUGGCACUGCCCGAUUCAUGAAUUGCUUUCUGCUCCAAUAUACUCUUUACAACUUUAA